AUACGUAGGGUGCAAGCGUUAAUCGGAAUUACCGGGCGUAAAGCGUGCGCAGGCGGUUUUUUAAGACAGUGGUGAAAUCCCCGGGCCCAAACUGGGAAAUGCCAUUUUGACUGCAAGGCUGGAGUGCGUCAGAGGGGGAUGGAGUUUCGCGUGUAGCAGGGAAAAGCGUAGAUAUGCGGAGGAACACCGAUGGCGAAGGCAAUCCCCUGGGCCUGCACUGACGCUCAUGCACGAAAGCGUGGGGAGCAAACAGGAUUAGAUACCCUGGUAGUCCACGCCCUAAACGAUGUCAACUGGUUGUUGGGGAUUUAUUUUCUCAGUAACGAAGCUAACGCGUGAAGUUGACCGCCUGGGGAGUACGGCCGCAAGGUUAAAACUCAAAUGAAUUGACGGGG
rnacentral:rRNA from 1 species